GGCCGCCUGGCGAAAUGGCAUCGCGUCUGACUACGAUACAGCUAAUGCUUCCGUAAUCAGGAGAUUGCAGGUUCGACCCCUGCGGUGGUCA